UACGUAGGUGGCAAGCGUUGUCCGGAUUUACUGGGCGUAAAGGGCGUGCAGGCGGUUUGUUAAGUGCAGGGUGAAAGCUCCCGGCUCAACUGGGGAGGGUCACGCGAUACUGAUCGACUGGAAGGCAGGAGAGGGUAGUGGAAUUCCCGGUGUAGUGGUGAAAUGCGUAGAUAUCGGGAGGAACACCAGUGGCGAAGGCGACUACCUGGCCUGUUCUUGACGCUGAGGCGCGAAAGCUAGGGGAGCAAACGGG
rnacentral:rRNA from 1 species